UACGGAGGGUGCAAGCGUUAAUCGGAAUUACUGGGCGUAAAGAGCACGUAGGCGGGCGAUUAAGUCGGAUGUGAAAUCCCCGGGCCUAACCUGGGAACUGCAUCCGAUACUGGUUGCCUAGAGUAUGGAAGAGGGAAGCGGAAUUCCAGGUGUAGCGGUGAAAUGCGUAGAUAUCUGGAGGAACAUCAGUGGCGAAGGCGGCUUCCUGGUCCAAUACUGACGCUGAGGUGCGAAAGCGUGGGGAGCAAACAGG
rnacentral:rRNA from 1 species